GUGUAAGUAUGAACAAAUUCAGAUUGUGAAACUGCGAAUGGUUCAUUAAAUCAGUUAUAGUUUGUUUAAUGGUAACUAUUAUUCGGGGAUAACCGUAGCAAUUCUAGAGCUAAUACGUGUAACAAACCCCGACUUCUGAAAGAAAUGUAUUUAUUAGAUAAAAGGUUAACGCGGACUUUGGCCUUUGCUCUCAUGAUUCAUGAUAACUCGACAAAAAAAAAAAGCAGAAAUAUAACCCAAUAUAGUAUUUAGCUCUAACAAUAUAG
rnacentral:ncRNA from 1 species